UUGUCCUACGGGAGGCAGCAGUGAGGAAUAUUGGUCAAUGGGCGAGAGCCUGAACCAGCCAAGUCGCGUGAAGGAUGACGGCCCUAUGGGUUGUAAACUUCUUUUGUCAGGGAGCAAUUGGGUCCACGCGUGGGCUUAGCGAGAGUACCUGAAGAAAAAGCAUCGGCUAACUCCGUGCCAGCAGCCGCGGUAAUACGGAGGAUGCGAGCGUUAUCCGGAUUUAUUGGGUUUAAAGGGUGCGCAGGCGGAAGAUCAAGUCAGCGGUAAAAUUGAGAGGCUCAACCUCUUCGAGCCGUUG
rnacentral:rRNA from 1 species